GUAGGAGCCUAGCGUUAUCCGAAUUUACUGGGCGUAAAGCGCAUGCAGGCGGCUUCGUAAGUGGAUUGUGAAAUCUCCCGGCUCAACUGGGAGGGGACGGUCCCGACUGCCGAGCUAGAGGCAGGGAGAGGGAGGUGGAAUUCCCGGUGUAGUGGUGAAAUGCGUAGAGAUCGGGAGGAACACCUGUGGCGAAAGCGGCCUCCUGGCCCUGACCUGACGCUGAGAUGCGAAAGCUAGGGGAGCGAACGGGAUUAGAAACCCCGGUAGUCCUAGCCGUAAACGAUGUCGACUGGGCGGCGGUGGGGUAAAAGCCAUCGGUGCCGCAGCCAACGCGAUAAGUCGACCGCCUGGGGACUACGGCCGCAAGGUUAAA
rnacentral:rRNA from 1 species